rnacentral:rRNA from 1 species
ACGCUCGACACCUACGGGAGGUAGCAGUAGGGAAUCUUCCACAAUGGACGCAAGUCUGAUGGAGCAACGCCGCGUGAGUGAAGAAGGUCUUCGGAUCGUAAAACUCUGUUGUUAGAGAAGAACACGAGUGAGAGUAACUGUUCAUUCGAUGACGGUAUCUAACCAGCAAGUCACGGCUAACUACGUGCCAGUAGCCGCGGUAAUCUGAGCGGGCUGGCAAGGC